rnacentral:rRNA from 1 species
GGGUUGUGAGGUUAAGCGACUAAGCGUACACGGUGGAUGCCCUGGCAGUCAGAGGCGAUGAAGGACGUGCUAAUCUGCGAUAAGCGUCGGUGAGGUGAUAUGAACCGUUAUAACCGGCGAUUUCCGAAUGGGGAAACCCAGUGUGUUUCGACACACUAUCAUUAACUGAAUCCAUAGGUUAAUGAGGCGAACCGGGGGAACUGAAACAUCUAAGUACCCCGAGGAAAAGAAAUCAACCGAGAUUCCCCCAGUAGCGGCGAGCGAACGGGGAGGAGCCCAGAGCCUGAAUCAGUGUGUGUGUUAGUGGAAGCGUCUGGAAAGGCGCGCGAUACAGGGUGACAGCCCCGUACACAAAAAUGCACAUAUUGUGAGCUCGAUGAGUAGGGCGGGACACGUGGUAUCCUGUCUGAAUAUGGGGGGACCAUCCUCCAAGGCUAAAUACUCCUGACUGACCGAUAGUGAACCAGUACCGUGAGGGAAAGGCGAAAAGAACCCCGGCGAGGGGAGUGAAAAAGAACCUGAAACCGUGUACGUACAAGCAGUGGGAGCCUCUUUAUGGGGUGACUGCGUACCUUUUGUAUAAUGGGUCAGCGACUUAUAUUCUGUAGCAAGGUUAACCGAAUAGGGGAGCCGAAGGGAAACCGAGUCUUAACUGGGCGUUAAGUUGCAGGGUAUAGACCCGAAACCCGGUGAUCUAGCCAUGGGCAGGUUGAAGGUUGGGUAACACUAACUGGAGGACCGAACCGACUAAUGUUGAAAAAUUAGCGGAUGACUUGUGGCUGGGGGUGAAAGGCCAAUCAAACCGGGAGAUAGCUGGUUCUCCCCGAAAGCUAUUUAGGUAGCGCCUCGUGAAUUCAUCUCCGGGGGUAGAGCACUGUUUCGGCAAGGGGGUCAUCCCGACUUACCAACCCGAUGCAAACUGCGAAUACCGGAGAAUGUUAUCACGGGAGACACACGGCGGGUGCUAACGUCCGUCGUGAAGAGGGAAACAACCCAGACCGCCAGCUAAGGUCCCAAAGUCAUGGUUAAGUGGGAAACGAUGUGGGAAGGCCCAGACAGCCAGGAUGUUGGCUUAGAAGCAGCCAUCAUUUAAAGAAAGCGUAAUAGCUCACUGGUCGAGUCGGCCUGCGCGGAAGAUGUAACGGGGCUAAACCAUGCACCGAAGCUGCGGCAGCGACACUAUGUGUUGUUGGGUAGGGGAGCGUUCUGUAAGCCUGUGAAGGUGGCCUGUGAGGGUUGCUGGAGGUAUCAGAAGUGCGAAUGCUGACAUAAGUAACGAUAAAGCGGGUGAAAAGCCCGCUCGCCGGAAGACCAAGGGUUCCUGUCCAACGUUAAUCGGGGCAGGGUGAGUCGACCCCUAAGGCGAGGCCGAAAGGCGUAGUCGAUGGGAAACAGGUUAAUAUUCCUGUACUUGGUGUUACUGCGAAGGGGGGACGGAGAAGGCUAUGUUGGCCGGGCGACGGUUGUCCCGGUUUAAGCGUGUAGGCUGGUUUUCCAGGCAAAUCCGGAAAACCAAGGCUGAGGCGUGAUGACGAGGCACUACGGUGCUGAAGCGACAAAUGCCCUGCUUCCAGGAAAAGCCUCUAAGCAUCAGGUAACAUCAAAUCGUACCCCAAACCGACACAGGUGGUCAGGUAGAGAAUACCAAGGCGCUUGAGAGAACUCGGGUGAAGGAACUAGGCAAAAUGGUGCCGUAACUUCGGGAGAAGGCACGCUGAUAUGUAGGUGAAGCGACUUGCUCGUGGAGCUGAAAUCAGUCGAAGAUACCAGCUGGCUGCAACUGUUUAUUAAAAACACAGCACUGUGCAAACACGAAAGUGGACGUAUACGGUGUGACGCCUGCCCGGUGCCGGAAGGUUAAUUGAUGGGGUUAGCGGUAACGCGAAGCUCUUGAUCGAAGCCCCGGUAAACGGCGGCCGUAACUAUAACGGUCCUAAGGUAGCGAAAUUCCUUGUCGGGUAAGUUCCGACCUGCACGAAUGGCGUAAUGAUGGCCAGGCUGUCUCCACCCGAGACUCAGUGAAAUUGAACUCGCUGUGAAGAUGCAGUGUACCCGCGGCAAGACGGAAAGACCCCGUGAACCUUUACUAUAGCUUGACACUGAACAUUGAGCCUUGAUGUGUAGGAUAGGUGGGAGGCUUUGAAGUGUGGACGCCAGUCUGCAUGGAGCCGACCUUGAAAUACCACCCUUUAAUGUUUGAUGUUCUAACGUUGGCCCGUAAUCCGGGUUGCGGACAGUGUCUGGUGGGUAGUUUGACUGGGGCGGUCUCCUCCUAAAGAGUAACGGAGGAGCACGAAGGUUGGCUAAUCCUGGUCGGACAUCAGGAGGUUAGUGCAAUGGCAUAAGCCAGCUUGACUGCGAGCGUGACGGCGCGAGCAGGUGCGAAAGCAGGUCAUAGUGAUCCGGUGGUUCUGAAUGGAAGGGCCAUCGCUCAACGGAUAAAAGGUACUCCGGGGAUAACAGGCUGAUACCGCCCAAGAGUUCAUAUCGACGGCGGUGUUUGGCACCUCGAUGUCGGCUCAUCACAUCCUGGGGCUGAAGUAGGUCCCAAGGGUAUGGCUGUUCGCCAUUUAAAGUGGUACGCGAGCUGGGUUUAGAACGUCGUGAGACAGUUCGGUCCCUAUCUGCCGUGGGCGCUGGAGAACUGAGGGGGGCUGCUCCUAGUACGAGAGGACCGGAGUGGACGCAUCACUGGUGUUCGGGUUGUCAUGCCAAUGGCACUGCCCGGUAGCUAAAUGCGGAAGAGAUAAGUGCUGAAAGCAUCUAAGCACGAAACUUGCCCCGAGAUGAGUUCUCCCUGACUCCUUGAGAGUCCUGAAGGAACGUUGAAGACGACGACGUUGAUAGGCCGGGUGUGUAAGCGCAGCGAUGCGUUGAGCUAACCGGUACUAAUGAACCGUGAGGCUUA